GACGAACGCUGGCGGCGUGCCUAAUACAUGCAAGUCGAACGCAUUUUCUUUCACCGUAGCUUGCUACACCGAAAGAAAAUGAGUGGCGAACGGGUGAGUAACACGUGGGUAACCUGCCCAUCAGCGGGGGAUAACACUUGGAAACAGGUGCUAAUACCGCAUAAUUCCAUUUACUGUAUGGUAGAUGGAUGAAAGGCGCUUUUGCGUCACUGAUGGAUGGACCCGCGGUGCAUUAGCUAGUUGGUGGGGUAACGGCCUACCAAGGCUGCGAUGCAUAGCCGACCUGAGAGGGUGAUCGGCCACACUGGGACUGAGACACGGCCCAGACUCCUACGGGAGGCAGCAGUAGGGAAUCUUCGGCAAUGGACGCAAGUCUGACCGAGCAACGCCGCGUGAGUGAAGAAGGUUUUCGGAUCGUAAAACUCUGUUGUUAGAAAAGAACAAGGAUGAGAGUGGAAAGUUCAUCCCUUGACGGUAUCUAACCAGGAAGCCACGGCUAACUACGUG
rnacentral:rRNA from 1 species